CAGCCGUAAACUAUGCGCGUUAGGUGUACUGGUGACCACGAGUCACCGGGGUGCCGAAGGGAAACCGUGAAACGUGCCGCCUGGGAAGUACGGUCGCAAGGCUGAAACUUAAAGGAAUUGGCGGGGGAGCACCACAACAGGUGGAGCCUGCGGUUUAAUUGGACUCAACGCCGGGAAGCUCACCGGAUAGGACAGCAGAAUGAUAGUCGGGCUGAAGACUCUACUUGAUGAUCUGAGAGGAGGUGCAUGGCGUCAGUGACU
rnacentral:rRNA from 1 species